UCUCUCACUUUUCCCUCGAUAUCUCUCUCAGCUCUCCUGCCCAAUCCCCUCUGUCUCCGCCGCCGGCGCCGCCGCUCGAUUCCGGCCACUGCCGGCAUGCUUCGCUGCCGUACUUGCCACCUACUGCUCCCCCUCGAGCUGAUCUACCUUCUCCACCCGCUCGAUUUGCUUAUCCUCUCUCUCGCGCGCGCGAGUCCCCCUCUCCCUACGUGACUCCAUGCCACCGCCGCCGCCCACGCCGGCGGGUUCCGUCGAUUUCCACCGGGGCGCAGCAGGCUUCCGCGCUCCCCUCUCACCGGGCCUUCAUCCAGUAUGGCUAGAUCCGCCGGGCGUGGCCCCUACCCUCACCCACGGCUAGGGAUUUGGCGGCUCCAACGUCGGCGUGGCUCAAGUAGGUCACUCAUCACGCGGAUGGGUCGAAGCGCUGGAUCUCGGGACAGGGCGGCGCGGAGGCCUUCCUCCCAUAGGAUUCCGAGCUCGACGAGCCUAGCAGCUGUCGUCCUUGCCCCGCUCGAGGAGGAGGGGCGCACCUAGCAGGCCACCAAUGGCCUGUUCUGCUCCUCGUCUUCCUCCACUGCCUGAACCACCACGCAUUCAACAGCGGGCUGCUGCAGCAUCGACCGGAAGCAAACAAAAGGAUGACACUCACAAGGAAUGAAGAAGCCAGCUAUCCUUGUCAACUUGAUGUUUUAGCUUUCAUUUUGUACAACUCAUCUCCCAUACUUACAUCUUUUAGUUGUCCAUUUGUGAACCUGAUGUAUGGUGUCUUGGUGGUUAUGUUUCUAACAAACUAAAGUGCAUAUAUGUGAUAUAAUUAGUUAAUGGAAUAAAAGCAGAUUGGUGCACAUAAUGUGAACCUGAUA